rnacentral:rRNA from 1 species
GAUGAACGCUGGCGGCGUGCUUAACACAUGCAAGUCGAACGAUGAAGCCCAGCUUGCUGGGUGGAUUAGUGGCGAACGGGUGAGUAACACGUGAGUAACCUGCCCUUAACUCUGGGAUAAGCCUAGGAAACUGGGUCUAAUACCGGAUAGGAGCGCCUACCGCAUGGUGGGUGUUGGAAAGAUUUAUCGGUUUUGGAUGGACUCGCGGCCUAUCAGCUUGUUGGUGAGGUAAUGGCUCACCAAGGCGACGACGGGUAGCCGGCCUGAGAGGGUGACCGGCCACACUGGGACUGAGACACGGCCCAGGCUCCUACGGGAGGCAGCAGUGGGGAAUAUUGCACAAUGGGCGAAAGCCUGAUGCAGCGACGCCGCGUGAGGGAUGACGGCCUUCGGGUUGUAAACCUCUUUCAGUAGGGAAGAAGCGAAAGUGACGGUACCUGCAGAAGAAGCACCGGCUAACUACGUG